ensembl:lncRNA
CUGGAUGGACAUGGCUUCUUGGAAGGCGACCCUCCUUUCUUGUUAAAUCUACAGGGGUUUUUUUGUUUUGUUUUAUUUUGUUUUAGGCCAUGCAUGCAAGGCAUGCGAAGAUCUUAGUUCCUUGACCAGAGAUUGAACCUGUGACCCCUGCAUCAGGAGCAUGGAGUUUUAACCACCAGACCACCAAGGAAGUUCCUAAAUCUUCAGUUUUUAUGGACAACCUGCUUGGGAUGAGACAGAGAGGAAAGCCUCCCAUUGAAGACCCCUGGCUUCCUUGAUGAUAACUUCUCUAUGAUGGAUCCGAGGAUGAACUUUGGAGACAAGGUAUAUUCUUUUUUUUUUAUCUCUUUAUUUUGAAAUAAUUUUAGGCUUGCAAGACUAGUGCAAAG